rnacentral:rRNA from 1 species
GCACAGGCGGUGGAGCAUGUGGUUUAAUUCGAAGCAACGCGCAGAACCUUACCAGCUCUUGACAUGUCCCGUAUGGGUUUCAGAGAUGAGACCCUUCAGUUCGGCUGGCGGGAACACAGGUGCUGCAUGGCUGUCGUCAGCUCGUGUCGUGAGAUGUUGGGUUAAGUCCCGCAACGAGCGCAACCCUCGGCCUUAGUUGCCAUCAUUCAGUUGGGCACUCUAAGGCGACUGCCGGUGAUAAGCCGGAGGAAGGUGGGGAUGACGUCAAGUCCUCAUGGCCCUUAUAGGUGGGGCUACACACGUCAUACAAUGGCCGGUACAGAGGGUAGCCAACCCGCGAGGGGGAGCCAAUCCCACAAAGCCGGUCGUAGUCCGGAUCGCAGUCUGCAACUCGACUGCGUGAAGUCGGAAUCGCUAGUAAUCGCGGAUCAGCAUGUCGCGGUGAAUACGUUCCCGGGUCUU